rnacentral:rRNA from 1 species
UACGUAGGGUGCAAGCGUGUCCGGAAUUAUUGGGCGUAAAGAGCUCGUAGGCGGUCUGUCGCGUCUGCUGUGAAAACUCGGGGCUUAACCCCGGGCCUGCAGUGGGUACGGGCAGACUAGAGUGCGGUAGGGGAGACUGGAAUUCCUGGUGUAGCGGUGAAAUGCGCAGAUAUCAGGAGGAACACCGGUGGCGAAGGCGGGUCUCUGGGCCGUAACUGACGCUGAGGAGCGAAAGCAUGGGGAGCGAACAGG